GGGGCACAAACCAGGGGGUGGCGACUGUUUACUAAAAACACAGGGCUCUGCGAAGCCGUAAGGCGACGUAUAGGGUCUGACGCCUGCCCGGUGCCGGAAGGUUAAAAGGAGGGGUGCAAGCUCCGAAUUGAAGCCCCGGUAAACGGCGGCCGUAACUAUAACGGUCCUAAGGUAGCGAAAUUCCUUGUCGGGUAAGUUCCGACCUGCACGAAUGGCGUAACGACUUCCCCGCUGUCUCAAAUGUGGACUCAGCGAAAUUGAAUUGUCUGUGAAGAUGCAGACUUCCCGCGGUUAGACGGAAAGACCCCAUGCACCUUUACUAUAGCUUCGCACUGGCAUCAGGAUUGUGAUGUGCAGGAUAGGUGGUAGGCAUUGAAACCGGGACGCCAGUUCCGGUGGAGCCAUCCUUGAGAUACCACCCUUCGCACUCUUGAUGUCUAACCGCGGCCCGUUAUCCGGGUCCGGGACCCUGCGUGGUGGGUAGUUUGACUGGGGCGGUCGCCUCCCAAAGAGUAACGGAGGCGCGCGAAGGUUGGCUCAGAGCGGUCGGAAAUCGCUCGUUGAGUGCAAUGGCAGAAGCCAGCCUGACUGCAAGACUGACAAGUCGAGCAGAGACGAAAGUCGGCCAUAGUGAUCCGGUGGUCCCGAGUGGAAGGGCCAUCGCUCAACGGAUAAAAGGUACGCUGGGGAUAACAGGCUGAUGAUGCCCAAGAGUCCAUAUCGACGGCAUCGUUUGGCACCUCGAUGUCGGCUCAUCUCAUCCUGGGGCUGGAGCAGGUCCCAAGGGUAUGGCUGUUCGCCAUUUAAAGAGGUACGUGAGCUGGGUUUAGAACGUCGUGAGACAGUUCGGUCCCUAUCUGCCGUGGGUGUAGGAUACUUGAGAGGAGUUGCCCCUAGUACGAGAGGACCGGGGUGAACGUUCCACUGGUGGACCAGUUGUCGUGCCAACGGCAGUGCUGGGUAGCUAUGAACGGACAGGAUAAACGCUGAAGGCAUCUAAGCGUGAAGCCCCCCUCAAAACAAGGUAUCCCUUGAGAGCCGUGGAAGACCACCACGUCGAUAGGCCGGAGAUGUAAGCGCAGCAAUGCGUUCAGUUGACCGGUACUAAUGGCUCGAUUGGCUUGAUUUG
rnacentral:rRNA from 1 species